rnacentral:lncRNA from 1 species
CAUUUGACUCAAGGAUCUUCCGAUAAGAAGUACAGUAUAUAAAGAUGUGGAUAAAGUUAUCAAAUCAAAUUGUCUUCAGUAAGACUCUGUGCUCUCUACUCUAUUCAUUUUCUUUGAGAAACCUCAAUUCAAAAUGUCAAAAAUUUUCAUGCUGAUCGUCUUGAUCGCCGUUUUGGCCACCGUCAUGAUCAAUGUAGUGGAUGGUUGCAAAAAAGAAAAGGAAAUUUGCUCCUCUAAUGGUGAUUGCUGUACCAACUAUUGCGAAGAUUUGGGAUUUUUCUCCGAAUGCACUGACCGAUCCAAACCGCAAUGGUAAAGUGUUGUAAAGUAACAAUGUAAUCAAAUUACCGAUGAAUAAAAUUCAUUUUGAACAUUA